GCAGCUGAACGCAUAGAUUACGUGGCAGUAUCACUAAUCCCCCAGAAAUGACAAACCCUGGGAAUGCAGCUCACAAUGACAGGUAGUGAGGAGGACUGGACCAACAGUGUAGGCAUCCCACAACAAUGGCUUUACAUUCUCCUUUCUGCGAGGGGGCGUGUCCCUCUCUUGCCUGCACUGUGAUGAUUCCUCCCCCUCCCUCACUCUGCUGACUCUCGGAAGCCUUGCAGCCCUGCACGCACAAUGAUAAUUGGAGAUUGCUUGCACUCUACCAAAGAAAAUAUGAAUACACUACAGUACCUAGAAAAACAGUAUCCUGAAAGCUUAGAAGCAGAGAUCUGUGCCUCCAUACAGUCCUCUCUGUGAUCCAACAGGAAUUUAUUUCCAUUCAUCUGAAUUUACCACAGGUGACAGCAAUUAAGGCAUAGAAACAUCUCCAAGAUGAUCAAGAGAAAUGGAGGGCCCCCAAAACUAAAUUUCAAGUGUCAAAGCAAAGGGUCUGAAUACUUAUGUCCAUGCAAAAUAUGCAAUGUAUGUAGUGUAGUCUCUACUAAUUGCCAGCUCAAGAACACAACCAUAUGGUGGACUCAUUUCCUAACUGCGACCAGUCUGCUAUGCUGCAAUGACCUUAUAUCUUUUUGGAAGGAUUUCUUUAUCUGUGUAAAAACUAAAUGAAUGCUUGUCAUAAAAGCCAUCCAACGGUUGAGUGCUUUGACAUUACUGUUAAAAAUAAAGGACUUCUCUCCUGGACCUUACAGCAACUUUGCUUUUUCAGCAUUGCUAAAAUGCACAAACUGCUGCACAAUGAUUAUUAUAUUAUGGGAGCCUGCCAAAAUGUCAUCCUAUAUCUCUUCUAUGCUCAGACAACUAUUGGUAUGUUGUUUUUAUAAAGCUGUACAUAAUUCCAUGUAAUCUAAC